rnacentral:rRNA from 1 species
CCUAUGGGGGGCAGCAGGCGCGCAAACUUUACAAUGCGAGCAAUCGUGAUAAGGAAACCCUGAGUGCCUGUCGAUGCAGGCUGUUCAUAUAUCUAAAUCAUAUGUGAAGAAAGGGCAGGGCAAGACCGGUGCCAGCCGCCGCGGUAAUACCGGCUGCUCGAGUGAUGGCCACUAUUACUGGGUUUAAAGCGUCCGUAGCUUGACUGUUAGGUCUCUUGGGAAAUCUUCACGCUCAACGUGAAGGCGUCUAAGAGAUACCGGCAGUCUUGGAACUGGGAGAGGUAAACCGUACUUCGGGGGUAGGAGUGAAAUCUUGUAAUCCUCGAGGGACGACCUAUGGCGAAGGCAGUUUACCAGAACAGCUUCGACAGUGAGGGACGAAAGCUGGGGGAGCAAACGGGAUUAGAUACCCCCGUAGUCC